GCGACCCCAGUCAGGCGUCGCAAGGAGU
rnacentral:rRNA from 1 species